rnacentral:lncRNA from 1 species
AGAUUUCUUGUAGACCCCCUUUAGGUACUGAAAAGCUGCUAUAAGGUUUUCCUGAAGCCUUCUCUUGUCCAGGCUGAACAGCCACAGCUCUCUCAGCCUGUCUCCAUAGCAGAGGUGCUCCAGCUCCCGAUCAUCUUCAUGGCCUCCUCUGGACUCAAUCCAAUAGAGUCCACAUCCCUCUUGUGUUGGGGGCCCCAGAGCUGAACACAAGACUGCAGAUGGGGUCUCACCAGAGCAGAGCAGAGGGGCAGAAUCACCUCCCUCGACUUGCUGGUCAUGCUCCUGUUGAUGCAGCCCAGGAUACGGUUGGCUUUCUGGGCUGCAAGCUCACACUGCCAGCUCAUGUUGAGCUUCUUAUCAACCAAAACUUCCAAGUUCUUCUCCUCAGGGAUGUUCUCAAUCCAGUCUCCCCCAGCCUGUACUUGUGCUUGGGAUUGCCCCAACCCAGGUGCAGGACCUUGUACUUGACCUUGUUGAACCUCAUGAGAUUGGCAUUGGCCCCCUUCUCAAGCGUGUCCAGGUCCCUCUGAUCCCAUCCCUUCCCUCCAGCGUGUUGACCGCACCAUACAGCUUGGUGUCAUCAGCAAACUUGCUGAGGGUGCACUCGAUCCCACUGUCCCUGUCACUAACAAAGAUGUUAAACAGUGCCUGUCCCAAUACCAACCCCUGAGGAACACCACUCAUCACUGGUCUCCACUUGGACAUCUUUUGAGCUGUUGACCACUACCCUCUGGAUGCAACCAUUCAGCCAAUUCCCUACCCACCAAGUGAUCUCUCUCCAGGCUCUGAGCACCUCUUGCUCGCACUGGCAUCAAACUGGUAGGAGCAGGAUGAACUGAGAUUCCCCUCCCCCAGCAACUUUAAAGCCCUCUUCACCAGCUUGGCAAGUCUAUGACUGAAGAUGCUCUUUGCCUUCUCUGACAGAUCGCCCCAUCAGCCCUCAGUAGACCAGGUUUCUCAAAGCAAGUCCCAUGCUCUAAGUAGCUAAACCCCUGGUUGUGUCAGGAAUUAAUGGAAGGGAAAAGUUUAUGUUCUCACAAGGUUUGAACUGCUUAUGAGAGCUGUCUCACCCAGGAAGUAGUCUGGACUCACUACACAGAGUGAUGAAAAUUUAGUGUAUGACAGAGUGGGUGGCAGAAAUUAGGCAAAGAAUAUAUUUGAAUAAUGUUUUCUCUUAAGAAUAAUCAGACUAUGCAUGGUAGCUUUGAUUUAUGAAACUGUAUUUGUGUUAAGAGUGGAAAAAGCUAUUUGUAUCAGUGCUUGUGGCUGUAGUCUAACUAAGGUUCAUUAAUAGUUCAGAUUGCACCUGAAAAUAAAUGGAUAUUUACCUGAGGAGAAAAA